rnacentral:misc_RNA from 1 species
GCUAUAGUUAAAUAACUGGUACAUGCUGUCCAUACUUCACAGCAUUAUGCUAUUAUAGAUUAUGAACAUUGGAUCUUUGGUGUCAAAUCUUUUUGCUAGUUUUUAAUGCUUUAGAAAGUCAUGCAUAAAAUGGGUUAUCAUUGCCUCCCAAAGGGAAAAACAAAGAAAGAAGAGAUUCAAUAUACUGUUUGUAGGAGAUAAAUCCUGGAUAUGUUAUAUAGCCAU